GUGAGUCAUCGAAUCUUUGAACGCACCUUGCGCUCCUUGGUAUUCCGAGGAGCAUGCCUGUUUGAGUGUCAUUAAAUUCUCAAUCUCUACAACUUUGUGAUGUUUAGAUUGGAAGUGGGGGUUGUUGUGUGGAAUCUAAUUCCUCACUCCCUUUAAAUGCAUUAGCUGGAAUGCCUCUGCAUAUCUGACUAUCAGUGUGAUAAUUAUCUAUGCUGUAGUCGUUGCAUGAGGGUAUCUGCUUCAUAAAUCGUCGUAAGACAAUUCUAUAUGACCAUCUUGACCUCAAAUCAGGUAGGACUA
rnacentral:misc_RNA from 1 species